UUGAGGGUCAUCUGGUCAAGGUCACCAAAAAGGUCAAAAUCGUUUUUGUUGUGUCUACUGCCUCAUAUACAGGUGCUAGCCAUGACGUCAUUGUGCUGUAAGAAUGUAAGAGUGUAACAGUCACGCAUUGCACAUACGCAUACACAUGUUCCUAUUAAAAUGGCCAGUGAGUAUAUACAAUUCAGUUCACUGUUUGAAAUAAAUGGACUAGACUAAAGAAAUGGCUUUCAGACAUGUUUAUGCUUAUUACAGAGGGAAAGUAUGUUCCACUGAGCUCUAGCGCCGGGCCAUUUCCGGGAAAUAAGAGUUUGGGUCAUGACGACAGCGUGUGUGUGCCAGCCUCGGCUCGGAGGUUUCAGUUUGGAAAACUGUAAGAGAUUCUCAGUCAUCCAGGUCAUAGUAAACUGUGGGUGGUAAAAGAGAGCAACUGGACUUGCUUGAAGAUUCUUGAAGACGUUUCACCUCUCAUCUGAAAGGCUUCUUCAGUUCUGUCUGACUGGUAGGGAGUAUCAGUAAUGCUGGCCUCUCCUGCUCUUCAGCCCUCCAGAAACACAGGAAACACUGAAAAAAAACCCAGCACACCAGAAGUAGAAAUGUCAGCAGUGUCAGCAUGGUGUGCGAAUUGUGCCUCUGGCAGUUCCUCAGUCUCAGCUACAUCACUCCAGUGAUCUCCACUAGAGAUGCGUUCAUAUUUUCAAACAGAAUUCAAACUCAAGAUUUCCUUAUUGCACCAAUUUCCUUCCCCUGACUUGGAAAAACAAGAGAAAACGCCCCUCAACUUGGAAAUCCCACUCAGGAAGUCGGGACGCCCUUCUCCACUCCGAGUUCAGCAAAUCAACAUGGCUGCCCACAGCAUCAACAGUAAACUACAGCAGCACUUCUUACCUUUAAAAUGAGUUGGUGUAUGUCGGAUAAACAAAUAUUUGCUUUAAAUCAAUCAUCACACAAACAUUUUCACUUGUUACUUGUUAUGUUGACUAUAAAGUUCACUGUUCUGAAGAGGUAAA